rfam:Candidatus Kaiserbacteria bacterium RIFCSPHIGHO2_02_FTLL_54_11b rifcsphigho2_02_scaffold_43732, whole genome shotgun sequence.
GCGCGGUUAGCUCAAUUGGUAGAGCGCGUCUUUGACGUAGACGAGGCAGCAGGUUCGAAACCUGCACCGCGCA